rnacentral:lncRNA from 1 species
CACGCCUGUCUUGCCCUCACCAAAAAUUAAUUUAAUAAAUAAUAGUAAGUAGGUAAGUUCACAUUAAAUAUAAGUUCAAGUUCUAAAUGUUACAGCCAACCAAAUUUACCAUAGCUUUAUUAGGUGUCACGAAAACUUUUGGCAAAAUGGGCAGACUACUUUCUUGGUUGACUGUAAGAUAUGCUUAAAAAUAAAAACCUGAAGCCCGGUUCAUCGGCGGAAUAAAGAUUCUGAAGCUGCUCUUGUAUCUACAUGUUAAUCCUCCACAUCAAUGUUUUCAUUUACUGAUUCUGUGAUUCCGUACGUCAGAAGGAUAUUUUCCAACGCAAAAAAUGAGGAACAAGGUCUCAAAAAAGGUUUAACUGUCAAAAUAAUUACGGAAACAAAAUUUUAGCAGAACUGACAAGAAUUGGAUGGAAACAGUUUUAAGCGGUGUGCCAUCGAAAGCGAACUGUAUAGAUGUGACGGUGGGCGCGGAGCCCGAGCCCGAGCCCGCGCCGCCGUCGCGCUGGUACCCCGAGCGCUGCGCCCUGCAGUAGCUGCGGCCCUUGUGCGAACACUCCCCUAGUUGUAAUUACGUACUACUAAUUAAAUUAUAUUUUGUA